rnacentral:rRNA from 1 species
AGCGAACGCUGGCGGCAGGCCUAACACAUGCAAGUCGAACGAACCUUUCGGGGUUAGUGGCGGACGGGUGAGUAACACGUGGGAACGUGCCUUUAGGUUCGGAAUAACUCAGGGACACUUGUGCUAAUACCGAAUGUGCCCUUCGGGGGAAAGAUUAAUCGCCCUUAGAGCGGCCCGCGUCUGAUUAGCUAGUUGGUUGAGGUAAUGGCUCACCAAGGCGACGAUCAGUAGCUGGUCUGAGAGGAUGAUCAGCCACAUUGGGACUGAGACACGGCCCAAACUCCUACGGGAGGCAGCAGUGGGGAAUCUUGCGCAAUGGGCGAAAGCCUGACGCAGCCAUGCCGCGUGAAUGAUGAAGGUCUUAGGAUUGUAAAAUUCUUUCACCGGGGACGAUAAUGACGGUACCCGGAGAAGAAGCCCCGGCUAACUUCGUG